GCUCGAAAAUGUUAAAGUUCUUAUUUCAUGGUAUAACUUUGGUAUGCUUGGACCUAGAGUCUUCAAACUUGACAUGAAGGUUGGCCAGGAUUAACAGAUGACCACUGGUCAUUUCAAGGUCAUUCAUUUGAAGGUCAAGGUCACUGUGACCUUCAAUAUAAAAAAUGUUAAAGUUGUUAUAACUUUGGUAUGCUUGGACCUAGAGUCUUGAAACUUGACAUGAAGGUUGGCCAUAACUAGUUAGUAACCACUGGUCAUUUCAAGGUCAUUCAUUUGAAGGUCAAGGUCACUGUGACCUUGAAUGUAAAAAUGUUAAAGUUCUUAUUUCAUGGUAUAACUUUGGUAUGCUUGGACCUAGAGUCUUCAAACUUGACAUGAAGGUUGGCCAGGAUUAACAGAUGACCACUGGUCAUUUCAAGGUCAUUCAUUUGAAGGUGAAGGUCACUGUGACCUUCAAUAUAAAAAUGUUAAAGUUGUUAUAACUUUGGUAUGCUUGGACCUAGAGUCUUGAAACUUGACAUGAAGGUUGGCCAGAACUAGUAAGUAACCACUGGACAUUUCAAGGGCAUUCAUUUGAAGGUCAAGGUCACUGUGACCUUGAAUGUAAAAAUGUUAAAGUUCUUAUUUCAUGUUAUAACUUUGGUAUGCUUGUACCUAGAGUCUUCAAACUUGAAAUAAAGAUUGGCCAGUACUAGAAGAUGACCACUGGUCAUUUCAAUGUCAUUCAUUUGAAGGUCAAGGUCACUGUGACCUUAAAUGUUAAAAUGUUAAAAUUGUUAUAACUUUGGUAUGCUUGGACAUAGAGUCUUCAAACUUGACCUUGAAAACCUUAAACUCAUAUUUAUGUGUCCAAUCUAUCUGCUAGAACUGGUGUGAUAGAAACCUUUUGGAGUGAUCAUAAGGCUGUCUGGAUUUCUGUGUAGGUAUGUGAAAGCAAAACAAUAAAUAGUAUUAUUUCAUCUAAGUUUAUUUUCUUACAUUUGAUAAUGAAAUUGAUGGAAACUUCAAACAAUAUGUUACUAAUUUGCUAAUAAAAAAAUUGAGAUCAAA